rnacentral:rRNA from 1 species
UAUGAACGCUGGCGGCGUGCCUAAUACAUGCAAGUCGAGCGAACGGACGAGAAGCUUGCUUCUCUGAUGUUAGCGGCGGACGGGUGAGUAACACGUGGAUAACCUACCUAUAAGACUGGGAUAACUUCGGGAAACCGGAGCUAAUACCGGAUAAUAUUUUGAACCGCAUGGUUCAAAAGUGAAAGACGGUCUUGCUGUCACUUAUAGAUGGAUCCGCGCUGCAUUAGCUAGUUGGUAAGGUAACGGCUUACCAAGGCAACGAUGCAUAGCCGACCUGAGAGGGUGAUCGGCCACACUGGAACUGAGGCACGGUCCAGACUCCUACGGGAGGCAGCAGUAGGGAAUCUUCCGCAAUGGGCGAAAGCCUGACGGAGCAACGCCGCGUGAGUGAUGAAGGUCUUCGGAUCGUAAAACUCUGUUAUUAGGGAAGAACAUAUGUGUAAGUAACUGUGCACAUCUUGACGGUACCUAAUCAGAAAGCCACGGCUAACUACGUG